rnacentral:rRNA from 1 species
AUUGAACGCUGGCGGCAGGCCUAACACAUGCAAGUCGAACGGUAACAGGAAGAAGCUUGCUUCUUUGCUGACGAGUGGCGGACGGGUGAGUAAUGUCUGGGAAACUGCCUGAUGGAGGGGGAUAACUACUGGAAACGGUAGCUAAUACCGCAUAACGUCGCAAGACCAAAGAGGGGGACCUUCGGGCCUCUUGCCAUCGGAUGUGCCCUGAUGGGAUUAGCGAGUAGGUGGGGUAACGGCUCACCUAGGCGACGAUCCCUAGCUGGUCUGAGAGGCUGACCAGCCACACUGGAACUGAGACACGGUCCAGACUCCUACGGGAGGCAGCAGUGGGGAAUAUUGCACAAUGGGCGCAAGCCUGAUGCAGCCAUGCCGCGUGUAUGAAGAAGGCCUUCGGGUUGUAAAGUACUUUCAGCGGGGAGGAAGGGAGUAAAGUUAAUACCUUUGCUCAUUGACGUUACCCGCAGAAGAAGCACCGGCUAACUCCGUG